rnacentral:pre_miRNA from 1 species
UCUCAGCUACGUCGGUGUAAAUCCAGAGCAACUCCACUGAGAUUCACACCAGAGUAACUGAGAGC